rnacentral:rRNA from 1 species
CACGUAGUUAGCCGUGGCUUAUUCAAGGGGUACCGUCUUCUGCUCUUCCCCUUAAAAGAAGUUUACAACCCGAAAGCCUUCUUCCUUCACGCGGCGUUGCUGGGUCAGGCUUGCGCCCAUUGCCCAAUAUUCCCCCACUGCUGCCUCCCGUAGGAGUCUGGGCCGUAUCUCAGUCCCAAUGUGGCCGGUCAACCUCUCAGUCCGGCUACUGAUCGUCGCCUAGGUGGGCCGUUACCCGCUACUAGCUAAUCAGACGCGAGGCCAUCUUCCAGCGAUAAAUCUUUGACAUGUCCGUGAUGCCACGGCCAUGUGUCAUGCGGUAUUAGCAGUCGUUUCCAACUGUUGUCCCCCUCUGGAAGGCAGGUUCCUCACGCGUUACUCACCAGUCCGCCACUAAGCAUUCCCUUCCAUUGUCCGAAAAACUCUUUCAGGGGUGCUCCGUUCGACUUGCAUGUGUUAAGCACGCCGCCAGCGUGUCUCGAGCACGACGUCAAACGUACU